ACCCACUCCCUACCCUUCUAAAUUUCUAAUAAAACCCUGCUUGAAGUCCACAAAAUCAGAUUUUGAAAAACCACCAUCUUUGGGAGCCAUUUUUUUGCACUAAAAACUGGAAACAUUUGGCGACUUUGAAAGAGAAACGUCUAUGCCAUCUGCGUCGUCCGUUGUCGAUCACCGGCAGCUACCGAUCGGAGUUUGUGAUUCACCGUGGUUGCUUUCCAAAUGGCUUCGAAUAUCCAAGGACUUGAGUCAGGGAACAGCGAUGCUAGUCGUUGCCGGGCAAAUAAAACCCAACAGACUCGCCGAUCAUGGUCUACGAGGGAGGAGCUUGUGUUGUUGUCUACUUUAAAAGAAUUAGUAGCACAAGGAUGGAAGUCGGACAAUUGGCAGCAGGAUAAUCGGCAAUUCGAUGAAUAAAUAUGAAAUAAACCACAAUAAAGAAUUGGAAACUACAUAACGGCAAUGAAGCGAGCACAUUUUAUGCA